AUUGAACGCUGGCGGCAGGCCUAACACAUGCAAGUCGAGCGGAGCGGCGGACGGGUGAGGAAUGCCUAGGAAUCUGCCUGGUAGUGGGGGAUAACGUCCGGAAACGGGCGCUAAUACCGCAUACUAUCAGAUGAGCCUAGGUCGGAUUAGCUAGUUGGGGGGGGAAAGGCCUACCAAGGUUACGAUCCGUAACUGGUCUGAGAGGAUGAUCAGUCACACUGGAGCUGAGGCACGGUCCAGACUCCUACGGGAGGCAGCAGUGGGGAAUAUUGGACAAUUGGCGAAAGCCUGAUCCAGCCAUGCCGCGGGUGUGCAGAAGGUCUUCGGAUUGUUAAGCACUUUAAGUUGGGAGGCGUUACCAUCAGAAUAAGCACCGGCUAACUCCGUGCCAGCGGCCGCGGUAAUAC
rnacentral:rRNA from 1 species